GAGAAUACUCUAUGGAUGAUUAAAAGAAAGGAACCCAUGGGGUAUCUGGGUGGCUCAGUCGGUUAAGGCUCUAACUCUUGAUUUUGACUCAGGUAAUGAUCUCAGGGUUGUGAGAUCGAGCUCUGCGUUGGGCUCUGUGCUGGGUAUGAAGCCUUCUUAAGAUUCUCUCUCUCUUUCUCUCUCUCUCUCUCUCUCUCUCUCUCUCCCCCUCUGCCCCUCCCCUGCACAUGCUUGCUUUCACUUAAAAAAAAAAAAAAAGGAAAAGAAAGAAAGGAACCCAUUGAGGUCCAGGUUAUUUCCAAGCCUAGGGGCCCCAGAGGGGCAACACGUUGUGAAAAAGUGUGCAUCAUUAUAUAAAGACGGCUUCUACCUAUAGUUUCAUGGUUACUCAAAACAGCGCUGUGAGAAGAUCAAGACCAGAAUGUGCUUCACCAGGAGGAGGACCAGAGGGGUGGCCGCUGCUCCAGAAUCUCCUGAUCAAUUAAAAGAUUAUCCCUCAUCCUCAGUACUUCCUAAAAUGAAUUUUGUUUCAUUAAUAUCCAGUUUUCAAAACAUUGGCAUGAGCCUAUCUUGUUCUGACCAGUAGCCGACAUCAAAAGCCGCAUUAAGUUUUGUUCCAAAGAUAAAGUGUUUUAAUAAUUUCUCUUUUAUCCUCUUGUGUCCUUUCCUUUCAUCUGUGUUGCAGCUUCGGUUUGCUAUUUACAAAUGUCAUGUUGAAAUUUUAUUGUAUGAAAAAUUAUCUCAAAAUAUUAGUGAAUUCACAAUUGCAAUCCGAUUUUGAAUGUCUUCAUUGUUUGUUUGUUUGUUUGUUUGUUUUGCCAAAAUUUAAUUUGAAUAUAUAUCAGGGUUGGUUUGAAUCAUUCAAUAAUAAAAUUCAUUUCAUACCCCUUAGAUACUUUCUUGAUUUUGAGUGUUUCCAUUUCUCCCCUUUUCUGCAGUUUUAUCAUCAUAAUAUUUUUUUGUUGUUUGUUUUCUGGGUCUUUCUUUCUUUCUUUCUUUCUUUCUUUCUUUCUUUCUUUUUUAGAGAGA